CUGUGGGGUGGGGGAUCCGCAGGAAGAUGCAUUGAAACGGUGGGAUGUGGGCAGAACGUGGAGAUAAGGGAAAAGGAAGACGGGGAUCUGGACAGCACAGGGAGAUCUGGGCUGAAAGAAAGAAAGGAAAGAAAGAGAAAAAGCAAAAGAGAUAAGAAAUAAAAGACAAGGCAAGAAAGGAAAGAAAGAAAGAAGGAGAGAAAGAAGGAAGAGACAGAAGGAAAGGAAGAAAGGAGAAUCUCCAAGCCCUGUUGGACGCAGAGGGGAACGCGGUGAGCCAGGGUCAGGAUCAGGCUGAGGUACUCAGUGCCUCCUUUGCCUCAGUCUUUCCUAGUAAGGCCGGUUGUUCCCUGGGCACGCAGCCCCUUGUGCUGGUGGGUAGGGAUGGGGAGCAGAAUAGUCAUAACCCACGAUGAGAUGGUUUUGGACCUGCUUUGAAAGCUGCACACCUACAGGUCCAUGGGGCCGGAUGGAUUGCACCCUAGGGCGCUGAGGGAGUUGGGAAAUGUGGCUGCAAAGCCCCUCUCCAUCAUCCUUCAGCAGUCCUGGCUAAGUGGGAAUGUGUUCCUGACUGUCCCUGAACGUGUCUAAAAACUGUCUGGAUGUGGUGCUCAGGGACAUGAUUUAGGAGUGGGUUGUUAGAGUUAGGGUAGGAAGGUCAGGUUGUGGUUGGGCUUGAUGAUCUUUAAUGUCUUUUCCAACCUGAGCAAUUCUAUGAUUCUACGAGAUUUAACCCCUCCAUUCUUGUGGGAGCUGUGAUGGGACUUGCAGUGUCUCUGGCUUGCCCAGAAUUACUUUCUCCAGGCUGAUUCCUAGGUCCUGGCAUUUCUUUAAAGCCAAGUACACACCUCUGUCCAGUUUCUGCACCAGAUCCUACAAUGACAUCUCUGACAGCUUUCUCCUCUAAGGAAGAACACAGCAGUUCUUCCUUAGAGGCUCUAAGCUUGGUAGAUAGGAUGUGAGAAGGGCACAGCCUGGACCAGGACUUGAAUAACGAGCUCAGCUCACUGCUGGCAUGUGUUCUGUAGUCCCUCAGGUCCUGCAGAGUGGCGCUGGACUCACGGAGCAGCACGGCGUGGUGCAGGGGAUGUACCGGCUGUCCGGCGUCGCGUCCACCAUCCGCACACUGCAGCACGGAUGAAGAUGCCACCAUCGACAUCUUGCCAAACUAAAUGUUUCCCAACAUCAGCCAGUUCUGACCACCUAUAAGAGCACUACUGGCAGGGAUUUGAUGGAUGACUUGAAGUCAGAGCUGAGUGAGAAUUUAGAGAGGGUGAUCAUUGGGAUGAUGACUUCCACCACCAUGUAUGACGUGCACAAACUAAGGAGGGCUGUGAAGGGAAACAGAGAUGAAGGAAUGUAUGUGGAUGAUGCUCUUGCUCAGCAAGAUGCUCAGCAAAGUGCGUACGAAACGAGCCUGUGUGCUUUGCUGAAAGGCUGUGUAAACCCAUGAAGGUAAACAGGUUGUGGAGUAAAAUUGCUUGCUUCUUUCUUGCACUUUCGUGCUCGAGUCAGCAGCAUCAUGGCAAUCGUGAGAUGGAAGCUGCAGCCAGCCAGGAAACUGGCUUUUCCAGGGAAGCUCAGGCUUUUCUGCACAUCAGACAUCAGUCAUAUUCAGGAGCAAGUGCUGGUAAUGGAUCACUCCAUUAAUGCAGAAAUGCUCUAAUAAAGAGCAGCUCCUGCACCAGACUGGGCACUGAGACCUUUGUGUCUGUGGGUGAUUCUCCAGCAGUUCUGUGGUUGCUUUGCUUUCCAGGGCCUGGGAACAGCCGACAGCACUCUGAUCAGUGAUGGUGUCCUGCUCCGAAAUUGAUAUGCUGGAUAUCAGAAGGGAAUUCCUGACCACGUAUGGGAACUCCUCUAUUCCUUCAUGAAGUUGACAAAGUGUGUCUUGUCGCUGUGAGUCCAAACCACUGAUGGAAGUGCUGAUGAGACAAGUGGCCAGACCCCCCGGACUCACAUGAGCACCGCCUGGACACCCCAAGACACCUCUGGGACAUCUGCAGACCCUUCUGGAUGACUCCAGGACCACUCAGACCCACACGAGGACUCCCUGGACCCUACCAGACCCUACUGGGACAUCUCCAGAUCAGCCUGGGGACUCCUCAGAUCUCCUGGGCCCACAGUGGGAACUUCCAGAUCCUUCCAGGGUGCCACCGGACCAACCUGGGGACUGCCUGGACAGCCCAAGACCCCUCUGGGACAUCUCCAGACUCUUCUGGAUGAGUCUGGAACCCCCUGGAUGCCCCCAGACCUCUGUAGGAUGUCUCGUGCAGAUCCUUCUGUAUGAUUCCAAGGGGGGGUAAGGGGGGUUGUAGUGGGGGGAGGAAAGGGUCAGCAGACUUCUGUGGGCUGGAGAGGGGGGUUGUGUGGAAUCUAGGGCGGAAGGUGUGAGUAGGGCUUCUGUGGGGUGGAAAGUGGGUCUGGUGAUGGAAGGAGGGGUGGGAGGGGAAAAUGGGGAGUUGUGGGGAGCUUC